GCCACUGUUAUGUGGGUAAUUUAAUGUAUGCCUGUAAGCAACGAUGAACUAUUGCAAAAGAAAAAACGAGUCUGAGCGUAGUUCAGUUGAUAAUGACACUUUACUAACAACAUAUACAUACAGGUAAUAUUAUGGUAAAAUAAUUAAAUAGGCAUUAAAUAUUUUCCCUAGUAAUAUUUGUUUAAUGUACCGAUUUUCCCG